rnacentral:rRNA from 1 species
GACGAACGCUGGCGGCGUGCUUAACACAUGCAAGUCAAGGGGGCUUGGGGCAACCCGAGCAACCGGCGAACGGGUGCGUAACACGUGACCAACCUGCCCUCGUGUGGGGGAUAGCCAUGCUAACGCGUGGGUAAUACCGCAUACGUUCUCGGAGGGGAGUCCCUCUGGGAGGAAAGCUUUCGGGCGCACGGGGAGGGGGUCGCGGCCUAUCAGCUAGUUGGUGGGGUAAUGGCCCACCAAGGCUUCGACGGGUAGCCGGCCUGAGAGGGUGACCGGCCACACUGGGACUGAGACACGGCCCAGACUCCUACGGGAGGCAGCAGUGGGGAAUAUUGGACAAUGGGCGAAAGCCUGAUCCAGCAACGCCGCGUGAGGGAUGACGGCC